AUACGGAGGAUCCGAGCGUUAUCCGGAUUUAUUGGGUUUAAAGGGUGCGCAGGCGGGAGAUUAAGUCGGCGGUGAAAUUUUGCAGCUCAACUGUAAAAGUGCCUUCGAAACUGGUUUCCUUGAGUGUAGAUGAAGUAGGCGGAAUUUGUGGUGUAGCGGUGAAAUGCAUAGAUAUUACGAGGAACUCCGAUUGCGCAGGCAGCUUACUAAACUACUACUGACGCUCAGGCACGAAGGCGUGGGGAUCAAACAGGAUUAGAUACCCUGGUAGUCCACGCAGUAAACGAUGAUUACUAGCUGUUUGCGAUACAAUGUAAGCGGCUGAGCGAAAGCGUUAAGUAAUCCACCUGGGGAGUACGUUCGCAAGAAUGAAACUCAAAUGAAUUGACGGGG
rnacentral:rRNA from 1 species